UCCGUAGGUGAACCUGCGGAAGGAUCAUCG
rnacentral:rRNA from 2 species